rnacentral:rRNA from 1 species
AUUGAACGCUGGCGGCAGGCCUAACACAUGCAAGUCGAGCGGAUGAAGGGAGCUUGCUCCUGGAUUCAGCGGCGGACGGGUGAGUAAUGCCUAGGAAUCUGCCUGGUAGCGGGGGAUAACGUCCGGAAACGGGCGCUAAUACCGCAUACGUCCUGAGGGAGAAAGUGGGGGAUCUUCGGACCUCACGCUAUCAGAUGAGCCUAGGUCGGAUUAGCUAGUUGGUGGGGUAAAGGCCUACCAAGGCGACGAUCCGUAACUGGUCUGAGAGGAUGAUCAGUCACACUGGAACUGAGACACGGUCCAGACUCCUACGGGAGGCAGCAGUGGGGAAUAUUGGACGAUGGGCAAAAGCCUGAUCCAGCCAUACCGCGUGUGUGAAGAAGGUCUUCGGAUUGUAAAGCACUUUAAGUUGGGAGGAAGGGCAGUAAGUUAAUACCUUGCUGUUUUGACGUUACCAACAGAAUAAGCACCGGCUAACUUCGUG